rnacentral:rRNA from 1 species
CCUACGGGUGGCAGCAGUGAGGAAUAUUGCUCAAUGGGCGCAAGCCUGAACCAGCCAAGUCGCGUGAGGGAAGACGGCCCUACGGGUUGUAAACCUCUUUUGCCGGGGAGCAAGCCUGAGCACGUGUUCCCCGGCGGAGAGUACCCUGAGCAAACGCAUCGGCUAACACCGUGCCAGCAGCCGCGGUAAUACGGAGGCUGCGAUCGUCCUCCGGAUUUAUUGGGUUUAACGGGUGCGCCGGCGGGCGGUUAAGCCGGCGGUAAAAAUUCAGGGCUCACCCCUGUCGAGCCGUCGGAACUGGCAGUCUGGAGUGGGCGAGAAGUAUGCGGAAUGCGUGGUGUAGCGGUGAAAUGCAUAGAUAUCACGCAGAACGCCGAUUGCGAAGGCAGCAUACCGGCGCCCAACUGACGCUGAGGCACGAAAGCGUGGGGAUCGAACAGGAGUAGAUACCCUAGUAGUC